rnacentral:rRNA from 1 species
CGAGCCUGCGAAGGCAAGCGGAUCUCUUAAGGCUGUUCUCAGUUCGGACUGUAGGCUGCAACUCGCCUACACGAAGCUGGAAUCGCUAGUAAUCGCGGAUCAGCACGCCGCGGUGAAUACGUUCCCGGGCCUUGUACACACCGCCCGUCACACCAUGAGAGUCUGUAACACCCAAAGCCGGUGGGAUAACCUUUAUAGGAGUCAGCCGUCUAAGGUAGGACAGAUGAUUAGGGUGAAGUCGUAACAAGGUACC